rnacentral:lncRNA from 1 species
GUAUGCCAUACCAGUGUCUCCACACUCCUUGGUUAAGAGGACAACCAACCCAUACGGUACACAAUGACCUAUGCUUGAUAAACAUUGUUGUCCUUGGUAACAACGUAUCAUUUGGUCGCGAACAAGUUUAAGGACUAAACGACAAAUCCUCCUUUAUCGAGUCUAAAUAGUCCUAAAGACUUCACCACAACACAGGAGUUCAUUAGAAGAUGAAAUAAUUUGUGAUGAAAAAUACCAAAAUAACUUUUAUUAAUUUAUAAUUUAUAUACUAAUACAAGAAAGAGC